rnacentral:rRNA from 1 species
GGUUAAGCGACUAAGCGUACACGGUGGAUGCCCUGGCAGUCAGAGGCGAUGAAGGGCGUGCUAAUCUGCGAUAAGCGCCGGUAAGGUGAUAUGAACCGUUAUAACCGGCGAUACCCGAAUGGGGAAACCCAGUGUGAUUCGUCACACUAUCAUUAACUGAAUCCAUAGGUUAAUGAGGCGAACCGGGGGAACUGAAACAUCUAAGUACCCGAGGAAAAGAAAUCAACCGAGAUUCCCCAGUAGCGGCGAGCGAACGGGGAGGAGCCCAGAGCCUGAAUCAGCAUGUGUGUUAGUGGAAGCGUCUGGAAAGGUGCGCGAUACAGGGUGACAGCCCCGUACACAAAAGCGCAUGUGCUGUGAGCUCGAUGAGUAGGCGGGACACGUGGUAUCCUGUCUGAAUAUGGGGGACCAUCCUCCAAGGCUAAAUACUCCUGACUGACCGAUAGUGAACCAGUACCGUGAGGGAAAGGCGAAAAGAACCCCGGCGAGGGGAGUGAAAAAGAACCUGAAACCGUGUACGUACAAGCAGUGGGAGCACAGGUUUACCUGUGUGACUGCGUACCUUUUGUAUAAUGGGUCAGCGACUUAUAUUCUGUAGCAAGGUUAACCGUAUAGGGGAGCCGGAGGGAAACCGAGUCUUAACCGGGCGUUAAGUUGCAGGGUAUAGACCCGAAACCCGGUGAUCUAGCCAUGGGCAGGUUGAAGGUUGGGUAACACUAACUGGAGGACCGAACCGACUAAUGUUGAAAAAUUAGCGGAUGACCUGUGGCUGGGGGUGAAAGGCCAAUCAAACCGGGAGAUAGCUGGUUCUCCCCGAAAGCUAUUUAGGUAGCGCCUCGUGAAUUCAUCUCCGGGGGUAGAGCACUGUUUCGGCUAGGGGGCCAUCCCGGCUUACCAACCCGAUGCAAACUGCGAAUACCGGAGAAUGUUAUCACGGGAGACACACGGCGGGUGCUAACGUCCGUCGUGAAGAGGGAAACAACCCAGACCGCCAGCUAAGGUCCCAAAGUCAUGGUUAAGUGGGAAACGAUGUGGGAAGGCCCAGACAGCCAGGAUGUUGGCUUAGAAGCAGCCAUCAUUUAAAGAAAGCGUAAUAGCUCACUGGUCGAGUCGGCCUGCGCGGAAGAUGUAACGGGGCUAAACCAUGCACCGAAGCUGCGGCAGCGAACGUAUCACCCAAGACAACUUUACGGAGUUGACGAUUGACGGAGCGAAGCGACGUCAAAGCGUUCAUUAAAGUCGAGUUGGCUUAGGGAUACGUUCGUUGGGUAGGGGAGCGUUCUGUAAGCCUGUGAAGGUGUGUCGUGAGGCAUGCUGGAGGUAUCAGAAGUGCGAAUGCUGACAUAAGUAACGAUAAAGCGGGUGAAAAGCCCGCUCGCCGGAAGACCAAGGGUUCCUGUCCAACGUUAAUCGGGGCAGGGUGAGUCGACCCCUAAGGCGAGGCCGAAAGGCGUAGUCGAUGGGAAACGGGUUAAUAUUCCCGUACUUGGUGUUACUGCGAAGGGGGACGGAGAAGGCUAUGUUGGCCGGGCGACGGUUGUCCCGGUUUAAGCGUGUAGGUGUGUGUUCCAGGUAAAUCCGGUUCACUUUAACACUGAGGCGUGACGACGAGGCACUACGGUGCUGAAGCAACAAAUGCCCUGCUUCCAGGAAAAGCCUCUAAGCAUCAGGUAACACGAAAUCGUACCCCAAACCGACACAGGUGGUCAGGUAGAGAAUACCAAGGCGCUUGAGAGAACUCGGGUGAAGGAACUAGGCAAAAUGGUGCCGUAACUUCGGGAGAAGGCACGCUGACACGUAGGUGAAGUGAUUUACUCAUGGAGCUGAAGUCAGUCGAAGAUACCAGCUGGCUGCAACUGUUUAUUAAAAACACAGCACUGUGCAAACACGAAAGUGGACGUAUACGGUGUGACGCCUGCCCGGUGCCGGAAGGUUAAUUGAUGGGUCAGCGUAAGCGAAGCUCCUGAUCGAAGCCCCGGUAAACGGCGGCCGUAACUAUAACGGUCCUAAGGUAGCGAAAUUCCUUGUCGGGUAAGUUCCGACCUGCACGAAUGGCGUAAUGAUGGCCAGGCUGUCUCCACCCGAGACUCAGUGAAAUUGAACUCGCUGUGAAGAUGCAGUGUACCCGCGGCAAGACGGAAAGACCCCGUGAACCUUUACUAUAGCUUGACACUGAACAUUGAGCCUUGAUGUGUAGGAUAGGUGGGAGGCUUUGAAGUGUGGACGCCAGUCUGCAUGGAGCCGACCUUGAAAUACCACCCUUUAAUGUUUGAUGUUCUAACGUGGACCCGUAAUCCGGGUUGCGGACAGUGUCUGGUGGGUAGUUUGACUGGGGCGGUCUCCUCCUAAAGAGUAACGGAGGAGCACGAAGGUUGGCUAAUCCUGGUCGGACAUCAGGAGGUUAGUGCAAUGGCAUAAGCCAGCUUGACUGCGAGCGUGACGGCGCGAGCAGGUGCGAAAGCAGGUCAUAGUGAUCCGGUGGUUCUGAAUGGAAGGGCCAUCGCUCAACGGAUAAAAGGUACUCCGGGAUAACAGGCUGAUACCGCCCAAGAGUUCAUAUCGACGGCGGUGUUUGGCACCUCGAUGUCGGCUCAUCACAUCCUGGGGCUGAAGUAGGUCCCAAGGGUAUGGCUGUUCGCCAUUUAAAGUGGUACGCGAGCUGGGUUUAGAACGUCGUGAGACAGUUCGGUCCCUAUCUGCCGUGGGCGCUGGAGAACUGAGGGGGGCUGCUCCUAGUACGAGAGGACCGGAGUGGACGCAUCACUGGUGUUCGGGUUGUCAUGCCAAUGGCACUGCCCGGUAGCUAAAUGCGGAAGAGAUAAGUGCUGAAAGCAUCUAAGCACGAAACUUGCCCCGAGAUGAGUUCUCCCUGAGACUUAGAGUCUCCUGAAGGAACGUUGAAGACGACGACGUUGAUAGGCCGGGUGUGUAAGCGCAGCGAUGCGUUGAGCUAACCGGUACUAAUGAACCGUGAGGCUUAACCUU